CGGUUCUUUUUGUCAAAUAUUUUGUGUGUGUAAAGUACAGUACUAGUCCAAACAUAUAUCAAACAUUCAGAAAUAUCGCUCCCCAGCAUCUUACAAAUUUAGCCAAUACACAUCCAUACCCCUAUGGACAAGUCAAGAGAUGUUCCGAAAACUGUAAAUAUCACCUUUUUGCAUCUGGCCUAAUUACUCUUUCCAUAUCAAAAUCAGUUAAAAUACAACAUCCAAAAGUUUAUUUCACCUCUCUUCUUUCAUUUCCAUCCAAAAAAAUCUAAGAAAUGAGUGAGGAAGGGAAAGAAAAAAAAUUAAGAAAAAAUACACUCUAAUUAAAAGGAACUAUAUUCGUGGACAACGAAAAGCGGGAUCAUUAAUUGUGGUCUUUGGCCCACUGUGCAACUAUUACAGUUGCAUUUUUAAUUAACGAUGCCAAGUACUUGUUGUUGUGUACCUGGAUGUCAUUUAAGAGGAGGACAUGCAUUUCCAAAUGACUUAAAAAGAAGGAAAAGUUGGAUCAACGCCAUGGCCCAUACGCAGAUUGGACGAGAACACGGUGAAAUCGUGGAGUCCAUCUCAAUCAGCUGUUGUUUGCCAGGCACAUUUUACUGAAAAAGACUACGUGCAGGAAACUAUUCAUGAGCGCAAACCCUCCAUACAGAGACUUAAGUCUACUGCCAUUCCCAGCCUAUUUUCCUGGAUCAAGCAAGAGACUGAAUCGUCCGCAAAAAGAAAAAUCAGGGCAGUUUCCUGUGAAAACAAAAGAACUAAACUUGAUGAAUAUUGUAGUAGAAAUCUAGAGGAAAGUUUUGAUUGUAAAGUUGGUUUUCCUGAAGAAGUCAUUCAUACUGCAGACAGGAUUUAUGACUGUCCACCACCAACUGCCGAGCUAAUGUUGAGCUUCACAGAUGGAAUUACGCAAACACCAUCAAUGCCUAUAUUUUCAGCAGAGAAUUUUAAAAUGAAGACACGUGACACAGCCAUGCAUUUUUAUACCAGUUUAGAGUUGUAUACUAAAUUUUUAUUUGUUUUGACCACACUUGGUCCAGCAGCACAUUGUUUGAGAUACAUAUAUUUUCAAAUUGAUAGGGUGUCAUUUGAAAAUCAUUUUUUUUAUGACUUUGAUGAAAUUGAGGCAUUAUACAACCAACUUUGAACUGUCUAGAUUCUAGAUUGAAACUAGUGUUAAGAAUAUUGUGUAAACAUGGAUUGUUUUUAUGUCUAAACAGUGGCGUGAGGCUAACACUUGGCCAUUUAGUGGUUUAGUCAGGUAUUUUUCGCCAUCCAACUUCAAAUUAAAGUUUCCUACAACUUGGAUUAUUAUUGACAGCACAGAAUAUCCCGUGAUAAAACAUAAAGCUCCUAGAGCUCAGGCAACCUUUUCAUCAUAUAAAAACAGAAACACUGAAAAUACUUGUAUGUUCGACACCUGGUGGUUUAGUCAACUACAAAAAUGUAUGUCUCUAAUGCAUAUCUUGGUUGUACCAGUGACUGUGAAAUAGUUGAAAGAUGUAGAAUACAUGUGUAGUUCAAUUAUGUGAUCCAGGUGACAGUGUGAUAGCAGACAAAGGUUUAAAUGUGCAAGAUUUGUUUGCUCACUUUUUUCCAAAUUAGUUCCAAAACUCUUAUACGGGAUAGAAAAGUCUCCAAUUAACACGUGCACAUAGAGCUAAUUAUUGGACUUGGCAAAACAUACAAAAUUCUAAUAAAUCCUAUGAAUGGAACUGAAACAAAACUUUCAUCUGAAAUAACAUUUAGUUGUUUUAUGUUGUGUAAUUUUAGAACUUGUAUUGUGCCAAAGGAUGCAUAAAUAAAAGUGACACAAUGA